GAUGAAGAACGUAGCGAAAUGCGAUACGUAAUGUGAAUUGCAGAAUUCAGUGAAUCAUCGAGUCUUUGAACGCACAUUGCGCCCCCUGGUAUUCCGGGGGGCAUGCCUGUCCGAGCGUCAUUGCUGCCCUCAAGCACGGCUUGUGUGUUGGGCCUCCGUCCUCCUCCCGGGGGACGGGCCCGAAAGGCAGCGGCGGCACCGCGUCCGGUCCUCGAGCGUAUGGGGCUUCGUCACCCGCUCUUGUAGGCCCGGCCGGCGCUUGCCGACACAUCAAUCUUUUUUCCAAGUUGACCUCGGAUCAGGUAGGGAUACCCGCUGAACUUAAGCAUAUCAAUAAGCGGAGGA
rnacentral:misc_RNA from 1 species